GACGAACCGUGCGACCGUUAUUCGGAAUCACUGGGCUUAAAGCGCGUGUAGGCGGCCCGGCACGUCCGUCGCUGAAAUCCCCCGGCUCAACCGGGGAAGGGGCGCGGAUACGACCGGGCUGGAGGGGGGUAGGGGGAGCCGGAACUUCCGGUGGAGCGGUGAAAUGCGUUGAGAUCGGAAGGAACGCCCGUGGCGAAAGCGGGCUCCUGGACCCCACCUGACGCUGAGACGCGAAAGCCAGGGGAGCGAACGGG
rnacentral:rRNA from 1 species